GAGCUGAGCCAGGUGGGAGGGGGAUCAGAGUGCGACCAUGGGACGGAAGUCCCCUGGAUCUUAAAUGUUUUUUGGAAGAGAGGAAGAGAGUGACUGCACUGCUUGCUGUGAAGGGGAGACCGCAACCUUGAAGAUGGGCGUGUUGAAGUCUUCACCUUAUACUGAAAUGACCAGAUGUCUCAGAUAGCCUCAAGCUAUGCUGGCAUCAGGAGAAUUUGUCCCCAUCCUGAGUGACUGCAGACUGGGAUGCCAAUAUGUUCUGAGAAGUUCACAUUCUUUAAAAUUUUAAUGGCAAAAAAAUUACAUUGGAGAAAUAACCAGCUCAGUUGUCUGAAUAUCUUUGCACGUACAAGGAUCAGCCAUGGUGGAAGAAGGUGGAAAACCAUUCCUCAGCAGCCAUCUGAAACAUCUCAAACAUUGGAUCCAAAUAUCUAACAUCCACACUUCAUUUAUCUUUGCAAGCUGUGUCUUCAAACACCAUGGGCAACCCUCUGGUGAGACCCCUCAGAUUUGUCCAUGGUGUGCAGACAUGUAGCCAUGUUCCCCAUCUGAACAUGUGAGGAAAUCCCACAUGUUCGGUAAAAAGACCAUAAUACUGUUUAUCUGUGUAACCCCUUUCCAUAUGAAUGUUUACCUCUGAAAUACCAGUACAGGCAAGGCCAUCUCUGGGGAAAAGCCUGUGAAUAGCCAGAAAGUUCGAGCUUGGACAUUAGAGGUUGUUGGUGUUGAGGAAUACACCUAGUGCAGGUAGCUCGGUGUGCUGCUGCAAUGCAUGCAAGUUGCAGGUUGUGCUUUGUGUGUGGGGAAAUGACUGGAGCUUCCAGUAAGAGCAGUGAUUGGGUGCUGACCCUUUGCACAAUAAGCUGGAUGGGAACCUGUGGCACCAGCCAGGUAACCAGCCAUUCAAGAGAUACAAUGGGAGCCAAUGGCUCAGCAGGAGGACCCCACACCCCUGUGUGCAUGAACUGUGGAUACAAAAGCCCAUGGAUUGCUUGGUUCAGGGUCCCUCAUUGGCAGUACCCAGACUGAUCUCGAGCUAGUUUUGUGUGACUCAGCCAUGAUUAAAGUACUUAGAGAAAUCAGAUAUCUGAGACUGUUAUGGUGUUGAGAGUUUUUUGCAGGACAAUGGACAUGCACAACAUAUGCACAAUCCAGCCUUCAUACAAAAUGAGUAAGGUCACCAUGCCCUUGAAGGACACA